UAUGCGGUGGCACUUUCUCAGUACAGAAGAACGACCAUGAUAUGCAUUGCAGUUGCAAGUGUAUUCUUUGUGCAAGCUCUAGAAGCAUUUGCGGAGGCCGAUAGUCGCUGCCCAGGACCAGCUCCGGAUCCGGGUACUCCGGUUGACCACUGUAACUACUGGUGUGAAGGGGAAAACUUUGAGUGGAAGAAAGCGUAUUAUGUUAACGGAACACAAUGCAAA
rnacentral:lncRNA from 1 species